rnacentral:tRNA from 1 species
GGGCGUAGCGCAGCCUGGUAGCGCAUCUGGUUUGGGACCAGAGGGUCGAAGGUUCGAAUCCUUUCGCC